AGGACGAACGCUGGCGGCGUGCCUAACACAUGCAAGUCGAACGAGGUCCAACCGGUAGCAAUACUGGUGAAGACCAAGUGGCGAACGGGUGAGUAGCACGUGAGCAACCUGCCCCGAAGACCGGGACAACACCGGGAAACCGGUGCUAAUACCGGAUAUCCCCACCGAGUCGCAUGGCUUGGUGAGGAAAUGGAUUCCGCUUCGGGAGGGGCUCGCGGCCUAUCAGCUAGUUGGUGAGGUAACGGCUCACCAAGGCUUCGACGGGUAGCUGGUCUGAGAGGACGAUCAGCCACACUGGGACUGAGACACGGCCCAGACUCCUACGGGAGGCAGCAGUGGGGAAUCUUGCACAAUGGGCGAAAGCCUGAUGCAGCAACGCCGCGUGAGGGACGAAGGCUUUCUGAGUUGUAAACCUCUUUCAGCAGGGACGAUUGUGACGGUACCUGCAGAAGAAGCCCGGCAACUACGUGCCAGCAGCCGC
rnacentral:rRNA from 1 species